GCCAGCAUGACCUUCUGCUUUGCCAUCUUUAUCAUCAGCUAUGAAUGGGAAAGAGAGUUUGAUUUUCAGCUGGAUUCAUUUGAAGAUGAGGCCCUGGGGGAAGACGGAACUACAGGAUAAAGGAAAUUGGAUACCUGAAUCACAGCAUGAAGAAAACUGACCAGGGGUCACAUGUCUUGAGUGGCUAAGUGAAUGGGAAAUAAUCCUCUAUUAAAUCUGGGUCACAGA